ACCAGAAACACAAAUCCUUGUCACUGGUGGUAGACCUAGCUGUAAAACACUCUUCUGGCAGGAAACUAAUGUAUCCUAAUGAUGAUUUCCAGGAGAUUAAGCUUCCUUUCUGUCUGCUGUUAGACUGGGGGAAAGCAGGAACUGCCAUCUUCUCUGGAGAGCCAGAGGAGCAGAACCCAUUUUGGCCAUGCGCUGUCUGGAGGAUGCACAAUGCAGCUAGAGCAGUUACCAAGUGUGCAAAUAUUGGACAAAUUCCAACCUGCAGGUGCAUGAGGAUUGAUUUUUGACUGGAUACUUAGAGGGGAAAUAAAUGACACUUUUGUAACCCUACUGCUAUCUUUUUGGCUAAUAUUUUAAGUUUCUUAUCUUAAAUCUUGUGGGAUUUGGACAGGUUAAAGACAUUCAAAGGGAAAAUAGAAAUUUUUACCCAUAGUAGACAUU